UGCUCCGAGAAACCUCCGCUGAAGAAAAACGUCACAAUCUGUAUAGAUGGUGACGUCAUGUUUUAGCUUCUCCAGCAUUUUCUGAAUUCACUCUAUGUUAUGUGAUCUUCAUACGGCCGUUUCUAUCAAUCACAUAAAGUCGAAUUAUAAAAAUCUACCUUCAUGAUAACAUGACGUAUAAACGCCGCUCUAAAAGGAAAUCGUUCAUCAAUGAAGUUCUAGUUAACAAAUCUCCAGUUUCGUUUGUUAGUAGGAGCGCGAUAUAUUGAUUUUGUUUUAUCCCAUGUUGCUAGUGCACGUUAGUAAUGGCGGCUAGUAUGAGAGUGCCGAAUGUUUGAUGAAAGAAUUUCUGUGUAUCGACAAAAAGAACAAUGGAACUGAUCUACCCGGGGAGAGUGUCCUAUAUCGAGAACGUAGCUUACGAUCGGCGAAUCGCCGUAAGAGAAAGCGCGACUUCGCAUGUCGCCGCCAUCUAUCGGGAAGAAAAAUAUUUAUUUGUCUUUGCUGAUUUUUUCCCCUUAUUAGGAGUUUUCUCACUUCUAUCCUUUACCCUACGGCGCUUUUUGUCUUCGGAUAACUCUGUCUUCACGUGACUCGAUGCCGGGUCCUUUCAUUGCGAAGGCCACUUCUAUACAGACUAUGCCAUGCGUUCUUUUUAGCGAU
rnacentral:lncRNA from 1 species